rnacentral:lncRNA from 1 species
CUGAGGUGGUCCACCAGCCUCAGCCUCCCAAAGUUCUGGGAUUACAGGCAUGAGCCGCUGUGCUUGGCCCCACAUAUGCUAUUUCUAAAUCACAUCUCCUCUUUGUUUACUACAUGUGGAGCAGACUUUAAAUCACUGCUCGACGAAGUCAAUGAUGUUCACAUACGUAGAAGUUUCUCAAUGCUGCCUGCUUUAUAUUCAGAUUAUGUUGAUUUUCCUCCAAAUGACAAAUCUGAAUUACAGAUAAUUUAGUAAUUGGUGUUUAAUACUUACAAAUACGUAAAGCAACAAACUGGAAUAAAACCAAGGGAUGCUUUGUGGAAGUACUUGAGAAUGUCCACUCUACCAGACUGACAAAUGCACAGGGAUGUUGAUGUCUUUUCAAAGAUAACUCCGCUAAAUGGUAGUACCUGUAGUCUGUGAUGCAGACGUGGCUGAUAACUUAACAAAUGUCUUCGUGUCUGCGGCUCAGCUGUGCUGUUGUCCCAGGUGCCCCACCUUGGCUGGCAUAUCUCCCAGGCCAGCACUCUUGUGACUCUGCCCCCUACAUGCUGGGGAGUCUCUAUCUCUCUCUGGGACAGCCAACCACCUGUCAGACAACAUCAUCUGUCAAUCUCCUAAUCUUCAAACUCUACAUGUCAAAACAGAAGUCGUUUUCCCACUAAACCUAAACCAGCACCUUCUGAAUUCCUUUUAUGAGAUGAUGGCCCCACUCUUCACCCUACUGCCCAACGCAGGAACUGCAGAAAUCCAUCUUGACCCUUCUUCUCCCCAUACAGGGGAGCGUGAUGUUUCAGAGCAAAGGCUCUGAAGAAAACAGCUCCAUUCACGAGAGAAAGCAGUACUAAUUUUAACCAUAGAAGUACAAGACAUAUUCUGAUAUUAUACAACAUUGCUGAGAGAAAUUAAAGAUCAAAAUAAAUGGAGAGGCAUUCCAUGUUUAUAAAUCGGAAGACCCAAUACUGUUAAGAUGGCAGUUCUUCCUUGACUCAUCUAUAGAUUCAAAACAUUCCCUAUGGAAACCCCAGCAGGCCUUUUUGCAAAAACUGACAACCAGACCUUGUAAGUUAUACAGAAAUGCAGAGGACCCAGAUUAGCCAAAAUAAUGUCAAAAAGAAUGGAGAAUGUAUACGUCCCAAUUUCAAAAUUUAAAUAACUCUUACAUAUAUGUUCAGUUGAUUUUUGACAGGGACACAGUGGGGAAAAGCAGUCCUUUUAACACAUGGUGCUAAGACCACUGAAUAUCCAUAGGAAUUUAGAUCUUUACCUCAUACCAUAUAUAAAAAUUAAUUUAAAACAGCUCACAGGCCCAAAUUUAAGAGCUAAAACUAUAAAACUUCCAGAACAAAACAUAGGAGAAAAUCUUUGUGACCUUUAGUUAAGCAGAGAGAGAUACAGUACUAAAAGCAUAACUCGUAUAAGGAAACUAAUACAUUAGGCUUCAUUAAAAUUAAAAACAAGUGCAUUUCAAAAGACACCAUUAGGAAAAGAUAAGCCACAGACUGGGAGAAAAUAUUUGCAAAUCAUGUCUUAAAAGGACUUGUAUCCAGAAUAUAUUAAGAACUCUUACUAUUUAAUAAGAAAAAAAACCCAACUGAAAAGUGAGCAAAAGAUUUAAAUAGACAUUUCACCAAAGGUAUAUAAACGGCCCAUAAGCACAUGAAAAAUGCUCAUCAUUAGCUAUCAAGGAAAUGUAAAUCAAAGCCACAAUGAGUUACCACUUCACAUCCACAAGGAUGGCUAUAAUUUUAAAAGACACAUAAUCACAAGUGUUGGUGAGGACGUGGAGAUAUCAGAACCCUCCUACAUUGCUGGUGCAAAUGUAAAAUGGUGCAGCUUCUUUGGAAAACAGUCUGGCAAUUUCCUAAAAAGUUAAACAUAUGUCUGCACAAACACUUGUACACAAAUGGUCACAGCAGCAUGAAAACAAUCUACAUGUCUAUCAACUGGUGAAUGAACAAACAAAAUCUGACACAGCCAUACAAUGGAACAGCAUUCAGCCCAGCAAUAAAAAGGAAAGCAAUUACUGAUAGAUGCCACUACAGGGAGGAACUUCAGAAACAUUACUGAGUGAAAGAAGCCAGACACAAAAGACCAUGUCUGAUUCCAUUUAUAGGAAAUGUUCAGAAAUGGCAAACCUGAAGGACAGAAAGCCGAUCAGUUGCUGUGUGGAAAUGGAAAUGGGGCUUAAUUGCAAACUGGAAUAAGAUUUUUUUUUUUUUUGAGUUGUUCUAACAUUGGUUGUGAUAGUUGCACAACUCUAUAAACUUACUGAACAACCAUCUAAGUAUAAACCUAAAAUGGGUAAAUUUUGUGGCAGGUAAAUUGUAUCUCCUUAAAACUGUUAGGGGAGAGAGGGAGGCACAGGCUCUUCAUUCAGAGUACCAGGGUCCCAGUCCUCGCCCUUUUACUUAUCCACUCUGUCGCUUGGGGCAAGUUAAACUUUGUGCCUUAGUUUUCUCGUCUGUAAACUGGCAAUUAUAGUAGUACAUACUUCGUUAUUGUGAGGAUUAAAUCGGUUAAUACCAGUAAAACGUCUAGCAGAGUGCCAAACACACAGCAAGCAUUCAGUGUUAGCUGUUGUCUCAUUAUGACCAUUCGGAUUACACGCAUCCAGUUGUCUUGCCAGUUUCCCUUGGUAAUUAGUUCUCAAUCACCUUUUCUUCAUACCUUCUUCCCUGGCCUUAAGCUCUGUGCCACCUUUUAGAUGAAAGGCUUGUCCUGUCUCCCUCACUGCCCCCAGGCCUGUUCCCUCACAUUUCACUUCCACAGCAUGGAGGGACCACACCAGGUCAAAACCAACUACAGGAUCAAGUUCAACUGCACACAACUCCCUCCACCAUCCUGUCUCUGUGGAGCCCGUCACCCCUGUCCACCCCCAUGCCUACCCCACAUACACAUCACAGUGGCAAAUUUCCUCACACAUCCCAUGCAGCUGCUCUUGCCAUCGGUCCCCUCUGCAGAAUGCCCUGCUCUCUCCCCCUCUUGUCUUUCUAUAUGCUUGUCCUGUCAGGCUCAGCUGAGACAAAUCCUUCAUAAGACUUCCCUGAACCUCUUGGGCUGGGAUCACUAGUUGGCCUUUAUAUUUGUCCAUAAUAUGCCUGUAAUAGCCUGGGCAUAUCUCCAACACUGAUUGACAGAUUACAAAACACACUGUCAGAUUAGAACACACAUCUCACAUCUGGAAGCAUGAAUCCAGCACAAUGCAGGUGCUCGACAGAAUGUUAGCUGGCCAAAUGAAGGACCAGACAGGCAGCGCUUUCUCAGCUCCUCAUAUACUGAAAAUGCUCACAGACUUCCAAACAGCUUAGGACUUUGUCUAGGAACAUGGAAAUCUUAGGGAGACUCUCCCUCUGUUGAGGAGCACUGCAAGCAGCACCUGAGUGGAAGGACAGGGCCUGCCGUCUUCCGUUUGAUGCCGUAACUGUCAGCAGUUCAGGAGCAUUUGCAGAGAUGGCUGGUAAUGUUAAUUUUGCUGGUGGAAUAUUUCCUAACUUGCCCAACAUCCGAGUUUCUAAACUCUGAAACUCUUGAUUAAGAAUCUUUGAGAUAUCUCAUAGCGGGAAUAUAAGACAAUCAACUUCAGAGGGAUGUAACAGCUUAAUGACUGAACUUUAAAUUAUGGGGGAAAAUACAAUAAUCUGAUGUCUGGGUUCCAUCCAAGAUAUUCUGAUUUAAGUGGUCUGGGAUAUAACCUAUGCAGAAAAUUUUUUUAAAGUUCACUCAGUAAUUCUAAAGAAUUAUAGUGACCCAGCAAGGGUCAAGAUCUGCUCUUAUAUUAGUUCCUCUGUCAUUUUCUCAUGUAUAAAUGGUAGCAGUUAUGCUUAGAUUUAUGGAUAACUGAAAGUCCUUCUGAAAAUAAAAUGCAUAAAUGUUAAUCAGAUUCCUUUUUCCUAUUCUCACGACUUUGGGUCAUCUUAAAAGUUUGGGCUGGGCACAGUGGCUCACACCUGUAAUCCCAGCACUUUGGGAGGCCGAGGCAGGUGGAUCACUUGAGGUCAGG